UGGAAAAUAAAACUACUGAGGAGAUCGCAGGUGUAACAUGAGAGUUUAAAAGAGAUAUCUUCGAAGAACUGUAUGAUUGUUUAGAAAGUUUGAUUUAAAUCGGGGGUGUAAAUUUAUGUAAUAAACAGAUCCAGUUUCUUGUCUAAACGAUGAAUCUUCCACAUGCUCGAGAAAAAAGAUAUCGACGGAGAACUAUAAAAUUUACAGCGGUGUUUAUGAACCGUGGCUUUUUACAUCAAUGUUGGUGUUUUUAAAACAUCGUUUUUUUUAACACCAGUUGAAUCAUGAAAAACAUCUCGAUAGAACAUCUACGAAUGUUCUUGGAUUGACCCAGUAACUUUGGCCAAUAUGAAUUCUUCAAGAUAAAUUUAGGAAUGAGGAAAAUAGUGACUAUAAGAGUUGCAUUCCAUUCGACUAUGUCUUGGCAUAGAGCGAACAUCGAUUGAACCUACGCAAAGAAUGCACAAAGCGAGCGUACACGUGCACAACACGGUAUGUAAACACGAUGAUCCGUAUGUUAAAUGAGUAGGUAGAUAAAGAUAAGUAUGUACAUUUGUACGUACAAAGGAAAGGCAUGCAUAACAGAUUCCAAGAGAAAAGAACGCGUAAAAGAACGUUUCUGCGGCUGCCACAUUCUUGCGUCCUUCGUCGACAGGAAUAACAAUUUGUAAUCAUCGAAGAUCCCACGCUUUACUUAUCUUCGAAAAUAUAUCGAUUUCCCAAAAA